UACGGAGGGGGCUAGCGUUGUUCGGAAUUACUGGGCGUAAAGCGCACGUAGGCGGCUUUGUAAGUUAGAGGUGAAAGCCCAGGGCUUAACCCUGGAAUUGCCUUUAAGACUGCAUCGCUAGAAUCGUGGAGAGGUGAGUGGAAUUCCGAGUGUAGAGGUGAAAUUCGUAGAUAUUCGGAAGAACACCAGUGGCGCAAGGACGGACU
rnacentral:rRNA from 1 species